CCUACGGGAGGCAGCAGUAGGGAAUAUUGGGCAAUGGAGGCAACUCUGACCCAGCCAUGCCGCGUGCAGGAAGACGGUCCUCUGGAUUGUAAACUGCUUUUGAAUGGGAAGAAUGUGCUCCUUGCGAGGGGUAAUGACGGUACCAUUAGAAUAAGCCACGGCUAACUACGUGCCAGCAGCCGCGGUAAUACGUAGGUGGCGAGCGUUAUCCGGAUUUAUUGGGUUUAAAGGGUGCGUAGGCGGCUUAAUAAGUCGGUGGUUAAAAGUAGCAGCUUAACUGUUUUACAUGCCAUCGAUACUGUUGAGCUUGAGAUAUUUGGAGGCAGCUAGAAUUUCCGGUGUAGCGGUGAAAUGCAUAGAUACCGGAAGGAAUACCAAUUGCGAAGGCAGGUUGCUACGAAUAAACUGACGCUGAUGCACGAAAGCGUGGGGAUCAAACAGGAUUAGAUACCCUGGUAGUCCACGCCGUAAACGAUGAUUACUAGUUGUUGGGGUUUAAGCCUCAGUGACCAAGGGAAACCGAUAAGUAAUCCACCUGGGGAGUACGCCGGCAACGGUGAAACUCAAANAGAGUAGAGNGNGAGAGNGCGACGACGACGACGAGGAGAGG
rnacentral:rRNA from 1 species